rnacentral:rRNA from 1 species
UACCAGUACCCCGAGUGGUCGGGACGUUUAUUGGGCCUAAAGCAUCCGUAGCCGGUUCUACAAGUCUUCCGUUAAAUCCAGCUGCUUAACAGAUGGGCUGCGGAAGAUACUAUGGAGCUAGGAGGCGGGAGAGGCAAGCGGUACUCGAUGGGUAGGGGUAAAAUCCGUUGAUCCAUUGAAGACCACCAGUGGCGAAGGCGGCUUGCCAGAACGCGCUCGACGGUGAGGGAUGAAAGCUGGGGGAGCAAACCGG